rnacentral:rRNA from 1 species
GAUGAACGCUGGCGGCGUGCCUAAUACAUGCAAGUCGAGCGAACGGACGAGAAGCUUGCUUUUCUGAUGUUAGCGGCGGACGGGUGAGUAACACGUGGAUCACCUACCUAUAAUACUGGGAUGACUUCGGGAAACAGGAUCUAAUACUGGAUAAUAUUUUGAACCGCUUGGUUCAAAAGUGAAAGACGGUCUUUCUGUCUCUUAUAGAUGGAUCCGCGCUGCAUUAGCUAGUUGGUAAGGUAACGGCUUACCAAGGCAACGAUGCAUAGCCGACCUGAGAGGGUGAUCGGCCACACUGGAACUGAGACACGGUCCAGACUCCUACGGGAGGCAGCAGUAGGGAAUAUUCCGCAAUGGGCGAAAGCCUGACGGAGCAACGCCGCGUGAGUGAUGAAGGUCUUCGGAUCGUAAAACUCUGUUAUUAGGGAAGAACAUAUGUGUAAGUAACUGUGCACGUCUUGACGGUACCUAAUCAGAAAGCCACGGCUAACUACGUG